GACGAACGCUGGCGACGUGCUUAACACAUGCAAGUCGAACGGUGAAGCGCCUUCCUUUUUGGUGGGUGUGGAUGAGUGGCGAACGGGCGAGUAACACGUGAGUAACCUGCCCCCUUCUUCUGGAUAACCGCAUGAAAGUGUGGCUAAUACGGGAUAUUCUGGGUCUGUCGCAUGAUGGGUCUGGGAAAGAUAUUGUUUCGGUGGGGGAUGGGCUCGCGGCCUAUCAGCUUGUUGGUGGGGUGAUGGCCUACCAAGGCGGUGACGGGUAGCCGGCCUGAGAGGGUGGACGGUCACACUGGGACUGAGACACGGCCCAGACUCCUACGGGAGGCAGCAGUGGGGAAUAUUGCACAAUGGGCGCAAGCCUGAUGCAGCGACGCCGCGUGAGGGAUGGAGGCCUUCGGGUUGUGAACCUCUUUCGCCAGUGAAGCAGGCCUGCCUCGUUUGUGGGUGGGUUGACGGUAGCUGGAUAAGAAGCGCCGGCUAACUACGUG
rnacentral:rRNA from 1 species